rnacentral:lncRNA from 1 species
AUGUGACCCCAACCCCACCACCCUCCCCACCCCAUGAUGUCCGAAAAAACCCAACAAAGAAAAUUGGCUGGGACCAAGAAAAAGUUUACAGACUAUCAUCAGUGGAACAGUGCUGGUGUUGGUACCGGAGCAACCGACACCAAAAAGAAGAAAAUAAAUCAUGGCGCUAACCCUGAGACAACCACUUCGGGGGGCUGCCACUCGCCUGAGGAUAAACAACAGAACCGAGCUCAGCUGAAAGAGGAAAAUAAGGCAAGCCACCAACAUCAGCAAGCCCUAAGGAGGCAGCUAGAGGCCCAGGAUCAUACCAUACGAAUCCUUAUGUGUCAGAAAACUGAACUGGAGACAGCGCUCCAUGACAGCCAGGAUGCUGCCAGGAAAUUUGAAGGUGGGAAUCUGGGCACCCCGUCAUCCUUCAACCUGGCACUUUCACAGGCCUUUGGGCUGCAGCUCAACCUCUCUCAUUCCAGAAGAUUCCAAGGAUCUGGCAGCCCGCCUGCAUCAUUCCUGGCACUUUGCAGGAGAGUUACAGCGGGCUCUCUCUGCUAUGUCCGCAGAGCACGAGAGGGCGGACAAGUACAUCAAGGAGUUAACAAAGGAGAGGGAAGCCAUGAGUCUGGAGCUGUUCAGGAACAUCAUAACCAAUAAGGAGCUGAAGGAGAAAAAUGCCGAACUACAAGAAAAACUUCGACUGGUAGAAACUGAAAAGUCUGAGAUCCAGCUCCACAUCAAGGAGCUAAAAAGGAAACUGGAGACGGACAAAAUCCCGCUGCCACAGGUUCAAACCAACACUUUGCAGGAGAAGAUGUGGAGGCAGGAGGAGGAGCUACGGGAUCAGGAGGAGCUACGGGAUCAGGAGAAGCUACGGAAGCACGAGGAGAAGAUGUGGAGACAGGAGCAGAGGCUGCGGGACCAGGAGAAGGAGCUGCGGGAGCAGGAGCAGCAGAUGCAGGAGCAGGAGGAGCAGAUGCGGAAGCAGGAGGAGCAGAUGCGGAAGCAGGAGGAGCAGAUGCGGAAGCAGGAGGAGCAGAUGCGGAAGCAGGAGGAGCAGAUGCGGAAGCAGGAGGAGCAGAUGCGGAAGCAGGAGGAGCAGAUGGGGAAGCAGGAGGAGCAGAUGGGGGAGCAGGAGGAGCAGAUGCGGAAGCAGGAGAAGCAGAUGCUGAAGCAGAAGGAGCAGAUGCGGAAGCAGGAGGAGCAGAUGUGGAAGCAGGAGGAGCAGAUAGGGGAGCAGGAGGAGCAGAUGCGGAAGCAGGAGGAGCAGAUGUGGAAGCAGGAGGAGCAGAUAGGGGAGCAGGAGGAGCAGAUGCGAAAGCAGGAGGAGCAGAUGUGGAAGCAGGAGGAGCAGAUGGGGGAGCAGAUGAGGAAGCAGGAGGAGCAGAUGGGGGAGCAGGAGGAGCAGAUCCGGAAGCAGGAGGAGCAGAUGGGGGAGCAGGAGGAGCAGAUGCGGAAGCAGGAGGAGCAGAUGGGGGAGCAGGAGGAGCAGAUGCGGAAGCAGGAGGAGCAGAUGGGGGAGCAGGAGGAGCAGAUGAGGAAGCAGGAGGAGCAGAUGGGGGAGCAGGAGGAGCAGAUGGGGGAGCAGGAGGAGCAGAUGCGGAAGCAGGUGGAGAGGCUGCAAUUCAAGGAGGAGAGGCUGUGGGAUGAGUAUGAGAAGAUGCAGGAGGAGGAGGAGAAGAUCCGGAGGCAGGUGGAGAAGAGGCGGGAGAAGAAGGAGAGGAUGGGAGAGCAGGAGAAGACGCAGGAGGAGCGGUGCUCAGAGCCCUGCCUCCCUCCCUCCAAAUAUCCUUCUGAUAUGAGCCACCCUGGCAGCCUGGAGCCUGCACGAGAGGCCGGGAAGGGUUAUUCCCAUGACAACCGCACUGCACAGAUCAUGCAGCUGCCCCCUGGAAUGAAGAACGCCCAGGAGCGCCCAGGCUUAGGCAGCACCUCCUGCAUCCCAUUCUUCUACGGAGGAGACAAGAAAAAGAUCAAGAUCAUCAGUAUCUAA